AGGUUGUCAAUUAAUUGAUAAAGCGUGGGAGAGCUUUCACGACGUCAAGCUAGAGGAUCGAAGUUUGAUAUGGAACUCUGACUUGAUUGAAACUUUUGAAUUGGAAAAUCUCUUGAUAAAUGCCUGCAUCACCAUGCACUCUGCCGAAGCCAGGAAAGAGAGUAGAGGUGCUCAUGCCCGAGAGGACUUCACGAAAAGAGAUGAUGAGAACUGGAUGAGACACACUUUGGGAUAUUGGGAGAAUGAGAAAGUCCGGUUAGAUUACAGGCCGGUGCACAUGAAUACUUUGGAUGAUGAGAUUGAAUCAUUCCCUCCUAAAGCUCGUGUUUAUUAAUAUACUUGCUAAAUUGUUGUGGAUGCUAUAUACGGAUUGUUUGUGGUAUGAUUGGUGCAAGUAAGAAAGUAUUCAACAAAGUGACAUAAAUGCAUGACUUUGAUGAUCAUUGUUUUUAUUUAUCAUCAAUUUUGAACUGAUGUAUUCCAGGGCAU